rnacentral:rRNA from 1 species
UACGUAGGGAGCAAGCGUUGUCCGGAAUCAUUGGGCGUAAAGCGCGCGUAGGUGGCUUCGUAAGUCCGCUGUGAAAGUCAAAGGCUCAACCUUUGAAAGCCGGUGGAUACUGUGGAGCUAGAGUACGGAAGAGGCGAGUGGAAUUCCUGGUGUAGCGGUGGAAUGCGCAGAUAUCAGGAGGAACACCAAUAGCGAAGGCAGCUCGCUGGGACGUUACUGACACCGAGGCGCGAAAGCGUGGGGAGCGAACAGG